UACGUAGGGGGCAAGCGUUGUCCGGAAUCAUUGGGCGUAAAGAGCGUGUAGGCGGUUCGGUAAGUCGGCUGUGAAAGUCCAGGGCUCAACCCUGGGAUGCCGGUCGAUACUGCCGGACUAGAAGUUCGGAAGAGGCGAGUGGAAUUCCCGGUGUAGCGGUGAAAUGCGCAGAUAUCGGGAGGAACACCUAUGGCGAAGGCAGCUCGCUGGGACGUUACGGACGCUGAGACGCGAAAGCGUGGGGAGCAAACAGG
rnacentral:rRNA from 1 species